rnacentral:rRNA from 1 species
GUCGGGAGUCUUGCACAAUGGGGGAAACCCUGAUGCAGCGACGUCGCGUGUGGGAUGAAGUAUUUCGGUAUGUAAACCACUUUUGCGGGGGGCGAAAAAAAUGACGGUACCCCGCGAAUAAGCCCCGGCUAACUACGUGCCAGCAGCCGCGGUAAUACGUAGGGGGCGAGCGUUGCUCGGAUUGACUGGGCGUAAAGCGCGCGUAGGCGGACAUUUAAGUCAGGGGUGAAAUCCCGGGGCUCAACCUCGGAACUGCCUUUGAUACUGGGUGUCUUGAGUAUGAGAGAGGUGUGUGGAACUCCGAGUGUAGAGGGGAAAUUCGUAGAUAUUCGGAAGAACACCAGUGGCGAAGGCGACACACUGGCUCAUUACUGACGCUGAGGCGCGAAAGCGUGGGGAGCAAACAGGAUUAGAAACCCUUGUAGUCC